AUUCACUGUCGGACACCUUGAGGUAUGUAGAAGACUGUUUCAUACCUUCAUAAAAUUCUAGUAGUACCAUGGUGUUGCAAAUGGUAGCAACCAGACCCAAAUUUAGAUGCACUAGGUUUUUUAUUUUAUUUUUUGGUGUGUGUGCAUGUGUGAGUGUGUGUGUGAGAGCGUAUGCUUGUAAAAAAAUGCAGAUCUUGAACUUCACAAGUUACUAACCCUCAUAGAUUCAGUAGCAUAUUUUCUUUUUUGUUGAUACUUAAGAUAUUAGCGAGUAAAUAUAUAAGUAAACCUCAUUGCUUCAUCAGAAUGCAUUGGACUUCAUGAUAGUUUUCAUAAAUGACUAAUAUUUUAGACAUUAGUGUGGAACUAAGUUUGUCUCAAAACAUAUUAGAACACGUGUCCCUACAAGAUUGGAUAUUUAUUUUCAUCAGGUCCAUGAAGAAGGAAAGGCAUGUUUACAGCAUUUUCUGAGAUAUGAUGUUAAUUCUCAUCUAACAGAUGUUAGUAGUAACAGCUUUUCUAUAUUAAUAAUGCAGGUUGGAACUCAAGCCUUUAGGG
rnacentral:misc_RNA from 1 species